rnacentral:rRNA from 1 species
GCUACUACGUGCCAGCAGCCGCGGUAAUACGUAGGGUGCGAGCGUUAAUCGGAAUUACUGGGCGUAAAGCGUGCGCAGGCGGUUUUGUAAGACAGAUGUGAAAUCCCCGGGCUUAACCUGGGAACUGCGUUUGAGACUGCAAGGCUAGAGUAUGGCAGAGGGGGGUGGAAUUCCACGUGUAGCAGUGAAAUGCGUAGAGAUGUGGAGGAACACCGAUGGCGAAGGCAGCCCCCUGGGUCAAUACUGACGCUCAUGCACGAAAGCGUGGGGAGCAAACAGGAUUAGAUACCCUGGUAGUCCACGCCCUAAACGAUGUCAACUAGGUGUUGGGAGGGUUAAACCUUUUAGUGCGUAGCUAACA